rnacentral:rRNA from 1 species
UACGGGGGGAGCAAGCGUUGUUCGGAUUUACUGGGCGUAAAGGGCGCGUAGGCGGCCACCGCAAGUCAGUUGUGAAAUCUCUGGGCUUAACCCAGAAAGGUCAACUGAUACUGCGGGGCUAGAGUGCAGAAGGGGCAACUGGAAUUCUCGGUGUAGCGGUGAAAUGCGUAGAUAUCUGGAGGAAUACCGGUGGCGAAGGCGGCAUCCUGGACCGGCAUUGACGCUGAGGAGCGAAAGCCAGGGGAGCAAACGGG